AACGAACGCUGGCGGCGUGCCUAACACAUGCAAGUCGAGCGAGAAAGUCCCUUCGGGGGCGAGUAGAGCGGCGGACGGGUGAGUAAUACGUGAAUAAUCUUCCCUCGAGCUUGGGAUAACCCCGCGAAAGUGGGGCUAAUACCGGAUAAGACCACAUGGCUUAUGCUACGUGGUAGAAGGUGGCUUGUAUUUAUAUGAGCUAUCACUUGAGGACGGGUCCAUGGCCUAUCAGCUUGUUGGUGAGGUAAGAGCUCACCAAGGCUAUGACGGGUAGCUGGUCUGAGAGGACGACCAGCCACACUGGGACUGAGACACGGCCCAGACUCCUACGGGAGGCAGCAGUGGGGAAUAUUGGGCAAUGGGCGAAAGCCUGACCCAGCGACGCCGCGUGGGUGAUGAAGGCCUUCGGGUUGUAAAGCUCUUUAGAGUGGGAAGAAGUGGUUCAUGGUGAACAAUCAUGAGCUGUGACGGUACUACUAGAAUAAGCACCGGCUAAUUUCGUGCCAGCAGCCGCGGUAAUAC
rnacentral:rRNA from 1 species